rnacentral:rRNA from 1 species
GAUCCUGGGCUCAGGAUGAACGCUGGCGGCGUGCCUAACACAUGCAAGUCGAGCGAAGCACUUUGCUUAGAUUCUUCGGAUGAAGAGGAUUGUGACUGAGCGGCGGACGGGUGAGUAACGCGUGGGUAACCUGCCUCAUACAGGGGGAUAACAGUUAGAAAUGACUGCUAAUACCGCAUAAGACCACAGCACCGCAUGGUGCGGGGGUAAAAACUCCGGUGGUAUGAGAUGGACCCG